GAUGAAGAACGUAGUGAAAUGCGAUAAGUAAUGUGAAUUGCAGAAUUCAGUGAAUCAUCGAAUCCUUGAACGCACAUUGCGCCCAUUAGUAUUCUAGUGGGCAUGCCUGUUCGAGCGUCAUUAAGUCCACUUAAGCCCUGCUUAGUGUUGGGAGACUGCUCCAGCGGUGCUACCCUGUAGCUACCCUGCAGCUCCUCAAAGACAGCGGCGGAGUUGUGGUAUCCUCUGAGCUUAGUAACUUGUUCUAGCUUUCGAGUACACCACUUCCCCUGCCGUAAAACCCUUAAUUUUUAAUGGUUGACCUCGGAUCAGGUAGGAAUACCCGCUGAACUUAAGCAUAUCAAUAAGCGGAGGA
rnacentral:misc_RNA from 1 species